AACGAACGCUGGCGGCAUGCCUAACACAUGCAAGUCGAACGAGACCUUCGGGUCUAGUGGCGCACGGGUGCGUAACGUGUGGGAACCUGCCCUUAGGUUCGGAAUAACUCCCCGAAAGGGGUGCUAAUACCGGAUAAUGUCUUCGGACCAAAGAUUUAUCGCCUUUAGAUGGGCCCGCGUUGGAUUAGCUAGUUGGUAGGGUAAAAGCCUACCAAGGCGACGAUCCAUAGCUGGUCUGAGAGGAUGAUCAGCCACACUGGGACUGAGACACGGCCCAGACUCCUACGGGAGGCAGCAGUGGGGAAUAUUGGACAAUGGGCGAAAGCCUGAUCCAGCAAUGCCGCGUGAGUGAUGAAGGCCUUAGGGUUGUAAAGCUCUUUUACCCGGGAUGAUAAUGACAGUACCGGGAGAAUAAGCUCCGGCUAACUCCGUG
rnacentral:rRNA from 1 species